rnacentral:rRNA from 1 species
AGAGUUUGAUUCUGGCUCAGGACGAACGCUGGCGGCGUGCCUAAUACAUGCAAGUAGAACGCUGAAGGAGGAGCUUGCUUCUCCGGAUGAGUUGCGAACGGGUGAGUAACGCGUAGGUAACCUGCCUGGUAGCGGGGGAUAACUAUUGGAAACGAUAGCUAAUACCGCAUAAGAGUAGAUGUUGCAUGACAUUUGCUUAAAAGGUGCAAUUGCAUCACUACCAGAUGGACCUGCGUUGUAUUAGCUAGUUGGUGGGGUAACGGCUCACCAAGGCGACGAUACAUAGCCGACCUGAGAGGGUGAUCGGCCACACUGGGACUGAGACACGGCCCAGACUCCUACGGGAGGCAGCAGUAGGGAAUCUUCGGCAAUGGACGGAAGUCUGACCGAGCAACGCCGCGUGAGUGAAGAAGGUUUUCGGAUUGUAAAGCACUUUAAGUUGGGAGGAAGGGCAGUUACCUAAUACGUGAUUGUUUUGACGUUACCGACAGAAUAAGCACCGGCUAACUCUGUGCCAGCAGCCGCGGUAAU